rnacentral:lncRNA from 12 species
CCAAGAUUACAAACUAUUUUCUUCCAGUUUUUUCCAGAGCCCAUAGAGUUUCAUGUUUCAUGAUUAAAUUCUUGCUCCAUCUGGAAUUUAUUUUGGUGUAAAAAGUGAGGUAGAAAUUAAGUGGUUUUUUAAAGAUUUUGUUUAUUUAUUCAUGAGAGACACAGAAAGAGAGAGAGAGAGAGGCAGAGACGCAGGCAGAGGGAGAAGCAGGCCCCAUGCAGGGAGCCCGACAUGGGACUCGAUCCCGGGACCCCAGGAUCAUGCCCUGGGCCGAAGGCCACGCUAAACUGCUGAGCCAACCGGGCUGCCCAGUGUUCUUUUUUUAAGUGCAGCCUGAUGUCCCCAUACCAUUUUCUGGGUAACCCAUCCUUUCCUGACAACUGCCACGGAGCUGUCAGCAACCCUUGGGUUCCGGUGUGUGGGAGACACGUCCACAGUCACCCCCCCCCCCACUGGUCCCUCCGUCGUGACACCCUCCACCCCAUUCUUCAGGUCCAUGCAGCACCUCCUCCUCUUCUCUUGCAGAAGUGUCCUGGCCACGUGCUCCAGCUCAGUGUGGCACAGACGUCCGAGAAUUAAUUUGACUAUAUCCAAAUCCACAUUUUGGUAUAGAUCCCAGUUCAGGUUCAAAUGAGAGUCAGGAAACCUCUCUUAUUUUCCUCAGUAGAGUUUUAUUUUUUUUAUUUUUUUAAAGAUUUUAUUUAUUUAUUCAUGAGAGAGAGAGAGAGGCAGAGACAUAGGCAGAGGGAGAAGCAGGCUCCAUGCAGGGAGCCCGACGUGGGACUCAAUCCCGGGUCUCCAGGAUCACGCCCUGGGCUGAAGGCGGUGCUAAACCGCUGGGCCACCGGGGCUGCCCCCUCAGUAGAAUUUUAACCCUUUCCAACUUUUACAGAACUUGUUCCCAGGUAGGUUAUUUUUCUUUUUCUAUUCUGAACAGGAUCCCCGCUUCGCUGCUGUUUUCCACCUGCUGGGUUUGGGGUGAUGGGGUGCUGCGCCUUGGCUCACCACCUCCUCUGUGGGCUCCCCCACAGUCAACAGAUGUGCCUGGAGCACCCCCCACCCCCGCCGCCAAGGCAGGCCUCUGAAGGAACAGGCUCCCUGUCUCCCGGCUGCUGGAAAAUUUGGAAAACACAAAAGGCCACAGUCUCACCCCGACUGACCCCUUGGUGUUCCUACAGAACCACUUUAAAAAAACAGAACAAACAGGGGCAGCUGGGUGGCUCGGUGGUGGAGCGCCUGCCUUUGGCUCAACGCGUGAUCCGGGGUCCUAGGAUCGAGUCCCACGUCGGGCUUCCCGCUUGGAGCCUGCUUCUCCCUCUGCCUGUGUCUCUGCCUCUCCCUCUGUGUCUCUCAUGAAUAAAUAAGUAAAAUCUUAAAAAAAGAAAAAAAAAAAAACCAGAACAGUGUCUCAGGUAUAGUGCACAGGGAGCUGUGUUCCAUCUCUGCCUCCCAGACUUGAAGUAUUUAAGAAUUUCCACCAUGGUGGCCACUUGGGGUGGCUCUGGGCCAGAUUGUGGGGCACACACUUGGGCACCUCCCCUUAGCAGCUGCAUAACCUCUGUGCCUCAGUUUCCUCAGUGGUCGAGUGGGAACACAGACAGGACUGUCACGUCCGCCAAGGGCUCACCAUGCCGGCUGGCACACAGGAAGCGCAGAGCUCUGCUGUAACAGGCAGUCGGUGUCAAGCUUCCGUGUGCACGGCGUGGUCACCCCACAUUUCCUCACUUGGCCCCCCGUCGUACUCCUUGCACACACAGAUGUGAAGCGUCAGGCAGCCCAUCCAGCUGACGGCGACCGUACCCCACACUGUCCCGCAGCGCAGCGUGCCAAAUGCUGAGGUCAAUGGCAGCCUGGCCCCACGGGGGACUGCUGCGUGCUCCCUGGACACGGCCACAUCCCCCUCCCCCUCCCCCCACCCCGUAGGUAGAAGACCCACAGGUGCUCUGCCUGGCGGGACCAGCUCUCUCUGACAAUGGCCAGUCGGCUGCCGGAGGACACACAGGCCCUCAGGCUUUGGGUGGUGCCACCCCAGGGGCAGGCGCAUGUGGGAAGCCCAGCUUGUCUUGUUGACUCCCAAGUGUGGCCUGGCCGUUGUAGCUGCCGAUGGCGGGGCCCUCAGCAGGGGACAGCGGCCCACGGUGGCAAAGCCGGAGGGCUGGGGAAGAGAGAGGUUCUUGGACGGCACCUGUUUCUAUAAAACUACUUGUAGACAAAACACAGGGCAGCCGGGUGGCUCAGCGGUUUAGCGCCGCCUUCAGCCCAGGACGUGAUCCUGGGGUCCUGAUGGGCUCCCUGCGGGGAGCCUGCUUCUCCCUCUGCCUGUGUCUCUGUCUCUCUCUUUUUCUGUGUGUCUCUCAUGAAUAAAUAAAUAAUAAAAUCUUAAAAAAAAAGGAAU